AUUGAACGCUGGCGGCAGGCCUAACACAUGCAAGUCGAGCGGAUGAAGGGAGCUUGCUCCUGGAUUCAGCGGCGGACGGGUGAGUAAUGCCUAGGAAUCUGCCUGUUAGUGGGGGAUAACGUCCGGAAACGGGCGCUAAUACCGCAUACGUCCUGAUGGAGAAAGUGGGGGAUCUUCGGACCUCACGCUAUCAGAUGAGCCUAGGUCGGAUUAGCUAGUUGGUGGGGUAAAGGCCUACCAAGGCGACGAUCCGUAACUGGUCUGAGAGGAUGAUCAGUCACACUGGAACUGAGACACGGUCCAGACUCCUACGGGAGGCAGCAGUGGGGAAUAUUGGACAAUGGGCGAAAGCCUGAUCCAGCCAUGCCGCGUGUGUGAAGAAGGUCUUCGGAUUGUAAAGCACUUUAAGUUGGGAGGAAGGGCAGUAAGUUAAUACCUUGCUGUUUUGACGUUACCAACAGAAUAAGCACCGGCUAACUUCGUG
rnacentral:rRNA from 1 species